rnacentral:miRNA from 1 species
GUUUCCGCUGUGCCAUUUG